CCUACGGGAGGCAGCAGUGGGGAAUAUUGCACAAUGGGCGCAAGCCUGAUGCAGCCAUGCCGCGUGUGUGAAGAAGGCCUUCGGGUUGUAAAGCACUUUCAGCGGGGAGGAAGGCGGUGAGGUUAAUAACCUCAUCGAUUGACGUUACCCGCAGAAGAAGCACCGGCUAACUCCGUGCCAGCAGCCGCGGUAAUACGGAGGGUGCAAGCGUUAAUCGGAAUUACUGGGCGUAAAGCGCACGCAGGCGGUCUGUCAAGUCGGAUGUGAAAUCCCCGGGCUCAACCUGGGAACGGCAUUCGAAACUGGCAGGCUAGAGUCUUGUAGAGGGGGGUAGAAUUCCAGGUGUAGCGGUGAAAUGCGCAGAGAUCUGGAGGAAUACCGGUGGCGAAGGCAGCCCCCUGGACAAAGACUGACGCUCAGGUGCGAAAGCGUGGGGAGCAAACAGGAUUAGAUACCCGAGUAGUC
rnacentral:rRNA from 1 species